GUAUUCAGGGCAGUCUGCUCCCAGUGUCUGAACUGAAACGGUGGUCAGAUACAAGGGUGCGAUUUGGGGCUGCCCCAGAUCAAAGCAGUCAGUAACAGGUUGGCGGCUGUUGCAGCUUACAGACCGCCUGUAUAAUGCUGACUACAAAA
ensembl:snoRNA snoRNA:CG16892-a